UACGUAGGGCGCAAGCGUUGUCCGGAAUUAUUGGGCGUAAAGAGCUCGUAGGCGGUUUGUCACGUCGGCUGUGAAAACCCGAGGCUCAACCUCGGGCCUGCAGUCGAUACGGGCAGACUAGAGUGCUGUAGGGGAGACUGGAAUUCCUGGUGUAGCGGUGAAAUGCGCAGAUAUCAGGAGGAACACCGGUGGCGAAGGCGGGUCUCUGGGCAGUAACUGACGCUGGAGGAGCGAAAGCGUGGGGAGCGAACAGG
rnacentral:rRNA from 1 species